rnacentral:rRNA from 1 species
UACGGAGGGUGCGAGCGUUGUCCGGAAUCACUGGGCGUAAAGGGCGCGUAGGCGGCGCGGGGAGUCAACGGUGAAAGCUCGGCGCUCAACGCCGAGUCGGCCGUCGAUACUCCCGUGCUCGAGCACUGUAGAGGCAGGUGGAAUUCCGGGUGUAGCGGUGGAAUGCGUAGAGAUCCGGAAGAACACCGGUGGCGAAGGCGGCCUGCUGGGCAGCAACUGACGCUGAGGCGCGAGAGCGUGGGGAGCAAACAGG